rnacentral:rRNA from 1 species
CCCAGGGAAACUUGGAUUAAUACCCCAUAUUAUAUGGACCGGGCAUCUGGUUCAUAUCAAAGAUUCAUCGGUAACGGAUGGGCGUGCGGUUGAUUAGGUAGUUGGCGGGGUAACGGCCCACCAAGCCUACGAUCAAUAGCUGAUGUGAGAGCAUGAUCAGCCACACGGGCACUGAGACACGGGCCCGACUCCUACGGGAGGCAGCAGUAAGGAAUAUUGGGCAAUGGACGGAAGUCUGACCCAGCCAUGCCGCGUGGAGGAUGAAGGUCCUCUGGAUUGUAAACUUCUUUUAUCUGGGGCGAAAAAAGCCUUUUCUAAGGCGCUUGACAGUACCAGAUGAAUAAGCACCGGCUAACUCCGUGCCAGCAGCCGCGGUAAUACGGAGGGUGCAAGCGUUAUCCGGAUUCACUGGGUUUAAAGGGUGCGUAGGUGGGCUUGUAAGUCAGUGGUGAAAUCCCCGAGCUUAACUUGGGAACUGCCGUUGAUACUAUAAGUCUUGAAUAUCGUGGAGGUAAGCGGAAUAUGUCAUGUAGCGGUGAAAUGCUUAGAUAUGACAUAGAACACCAAUUGCGAAGGCAGCUUGCUACACGACCAUUGACACUGAGGCACGAAAGCGUGGGGAUCAAACAGGAUUAGAUACCCUGGUAGUCCACGCCCUAAACUAUGGAUACUCGACAUCAGCGAUACACUGUUGGUGUCUGAGCGAAAGCAUUAAGUUCCCAC